UACGUAGGGGCCUAGCGUUGUCCGGAUUUAUUGGGCGUAAAGAGCUCGUAGGCGGUUCGGUAAGUCAGGUGUGAAAUCUCCACGCUCAACGUGGAGGCGCCACCUGAAACUGCCGUGACUCGAGUCCGGUAGGGGAGUGUGGAAUUCCUGGUGUAGCGGUGAAAUGCGCAGAUAUCAGGAGGAACACCAAUUGCGAAGGCAGCUCGCUGGAACGUAACUGACGCUGAGACGCGAAAGCGUGGGGAGCGAACAGG
rnacentral:rRNA from 1 species